rnacentral:tRNA from 1 species
GGGCGAUUAGCUUAGCGGGAGAGCGCCUCCCUUACACGGAGGAGGUCAGAGGUUCAAAUCCUCUAUCGCCCACCA